UACCAGCACCCCGAGUGGUCGGGACGAUUAUUGGGCCUAAAGCAUCCGUAGCCGGUCCUACAAGUCUUCCGUUAAAUCCACCUGCUCAACAGAUGGGCUGCGGAAGAUACUAUAGGGCUAGGAGGCGGGAGAGGCAAGCGGUACUCAGUGGGUAGGGGUAAAAUCCUCUGAUCCAUUGAAGACCACCAGUGGCGAAGGCGGCUUGCCAGAACGCGCUCGACGGUGAGGGAUGAAAGCUAGGGGAGCGAACGGG
rnacentral:rRNA from 1 species